rnacentral:snRNA from 1 species
GGCCUAGGCUAGUGACUCCCA